GAUCCGUCACCGGGCGGAUCACAGGAUACCGGCGGAGCCUUCCGCAGCCGAGUUCAGCGGCCUGGUGUCCGCCACCGCUCCACCGGAGCAGGGCAUCUUUGCCCCAUGUGGCAGCGUACUGACC
rfam:Firmicutes bacterium CAG:83 genomic scaffold, scf95